CGAAGCGAAGCGUAUCACUGAACUUUUUGAGAUUCGAGUUAGUUAUACAGUUUGACCGAGUCCGUUAUAUACAUGCCUUCCCUCCAAAAAAAACAGAGCAAAAAUAAAAGAAAAACCUUUCAAGAAACCCUCUCAUCCGUCGUACGUCAGUCUUCUUCUUCUCCCAGAAAUGUCUGAAGAUCUCUUCCGACGUACCAGACCUUUCAAUCAACUCGAUGACUUCUUCACCGACUGGUCCAAACACCUAAAGACAUGGCUGUGACUGUCCCCCUCGAGACGACGAUCCUCCUCCUCGGCGACAUCAACCCUCGUCUUUUCACCAGUCUCAUCAAGUCUUUCAUCGACGACGACGAUCAAGAUCCCGUCCACACUUUCCGUAACCUUGCUGCGUGGGAAGAACUAUCUUCCCAGCUCGGGAACACUAUCAACGGAACAGUCUCGCGUCUACAAGAUGAGAUGACGGAAGCACAGGACCGUUUCGUAAAACGUUUCUCGGAUAAGUGGGUAUCGUCCUUUCGUCUUCAUGCUCAGAGUGAAACGGUAGUUAUGGAGACGGCGACUUCAGUGACGACGGAGGAGGAGGAGGAGGAUGGUGGUGGUGCGAUGAUCAUGGAGGAGCUUGUGAGAAUCUUCCGUGAAGCGAAUCAAUUGAGGAAGGAUACAAUCACCAGCAUUGUUGGAGUGUUGAACAUGAAUCAAAUCGCUCUCUUUCUUGUAAGCGUAUGCAAGCUUCUUGCAGGGUUUAAACAUCAGGAUCAGGCUUUUGAGAAUUCUCUAUUUGAUAAUCAUCUCAUUAACCAGCAGCUUCCAAAACCUGAACAGCUCCUUGAUCCAUCCGGAGAGGUUAAUAUUGCACACCACAAUUAUCCUCAGCCCAUGAUGCAGCAGCAUUUACCUCAGCUUCCACCACCGCCCAUGAUGCAGGAGCAGCAGCAGCAAAAGCACGUUAUAUAUGUUGGGAACUUGGCCCCAGAGACCACGUAUGGUUUGCUACUACAGGAGUUCAGUCAUUAUCGUUCGGCUAGGAAUUCAAAGAUUUGCGUUAACAAAGGAACUGGAGAGACAUAUGGUUUUGUUAGCUUUGCAGAUGAAAGGGAUAAAAUUCAUGCUAUGCGGGUAAUGAACCGUCAAAUCCUUUUAGGUAAGGAAAUGCAUAUUGGUCGUGCGGCUAAGAACUCUAUCUAGUCCCACUUUCCUUCACUAUAUACUUUGGGAUUGAUAUUAAAAGUAGUUUCUAGAGUC